AUUGAACGCUGGCGGCAGGCCUAACACAUGCAAGUCGAACGGUAGCACAGAGAGCUUGCUCUCGGGUGACGAGUGGCGGACGGGUGAGUAAUGUCUGGGAAACUCCCCGAUGGAGGGGGAUAACUACUGGAAACGGUAGCUAAUACCGCAUAACGUCUUCGGACCAAAGUGGGGGACCUUCGGGCCUCACACCAUCGGAUGUGCCCAGAUGGGAUAGCUAGUAGGUGGGGUAAUGGCUCACCUAGGCGACGAUCCCUAGCUGGUCUGAGAGGAUGACCAGCCACACUGGAACUGAGACACGGUCCAGACUCCUACGGGAGGCAGCAGUGGGAAAUAUUGCACAAUGGGCGCAAGCCUGAUGCAGCCAUGCCGCGUGUAUGAAGGAGGCCUUCGGGUUGUAAAGUACUUUCAGCGGGGAGGAAGGCGGUGAAGUUAAUAGCUUCAUCGAUUGACGUUACCCGCAGAAGAAGCACCGGCUAACUCCGUGCCAGCCGCCGCCGUAA
rnacentral:rRNA from 1 species